rnacentral:tmRNA from 1 species
GCCCUUCUCCCGAGCCCCGAUCGAGCCUAUAUCCGCCAUGUUCGGAUCACUCCGGACUAUGGAGAUAAACGCGCGCGCAAUAAGCGGACUGGACCCGGGUGCGAUUCCCGGCGGCUCCACCAAAUCCCAUUCUCCGCGUUAUCGGCGGGGCCUUGGGGGCCGAUCAGCAUCGACAGACGUCCAAAGGCGUUGCUUUCUCCCGGCGUGGCUCACCGUUUCGGGCCUUAAACUAACUGCGAACGAUAACUUCGCUCAAGAAUACGCCCUCGCCGCGUAAGCGGUGCGGUCGGAUUCGACCUUAAAGCCCUGGUGUCUUAGCAGCGCCAGGCGGGGCCCGGGGAGCGCCUGGCAACAGAAGCUCCCCACU